UGGGAACGCGAAGAACCUUACCAGGUCUUGACAUCCUUUGACAAUCCUAGAGAUAGGACUUUCCCUUCGGGGACAAAGUGACAGGUGGUGCAUGGUUGUCGUCAGCUCGUGUCGUGAGAUGUUGGGUUAAGUCCCGCAACGAGCGCAACCCUUGUCCUUAGUUGCCAUCAUUAAGUUGGGGACUCUGGAAGGACCGCUGCGGUAACAACGCAGAGGAAGAUGGGGACGACGUCAAGUCAUCAUGGUCCUUAUGACCGGGGCUACACACGUGCUACAAUGGUAGUUACAGAGGGAUGCGAAGCAGUGAUGUGGAGCGAAUCUCAGAAAAGCUACCACAGUUCGGAUUGAGGUCUGCAACUCGACCUCAUGAAGCAGGAAUCGCUAGUAAUCGCGCAACAUCAUGGCGCGGUGAAUACGUUCCCGGGUCUUGUACACACCG
rnacentral:rRNA from 1 species